CUCUGGCGGGGAGAGGAGGGAAAUACUGUGGGGGUUGGGGAACGAGAUCUGGGCUAGUCCUUGUCUCUGCCAUUACAGCCACCUUGCCUGCCUCCCUCACUGCAGCAGCAUCUGCGGCUCAGGCUCUCCCUCCCCUGCAGUCCAAACAGGCAGCCGGUGUCCCUGCCUCCGCUACAUCCACCAUGCUGGAUAUUUUCAUCUUAAUGUUUUUUGCCAUCAUCGGCCUGGUGAUCCUCUCCUACAUCAUCUACCUGCUCUAGGAGCCCCAACAGCAGUGCAGGGGAAGGAUGAAAGACAGCAGCCAGCCAUCCUGCCAAUCAAAGCCUCGUCCAGCUUUCAGGCCUGGGUCAGACAAGUGUCACCUUAUCCUCAGCAGCGGCAGCAGCAAUGCCAGAGCCAUCAGGAGAAAGAGUUAACUCUUUGCAAGCAAGCCGCUUCCCGAGCAGCUGGCGAGAGGAAAACCAGCCAUUGGACAGUGCAGAUGUCAAGGCUUAUAAACGCCCUUGACAGAAUGUCUGAGCUGUAAUGCAUUUGAAGAGCAAAUACAAAGCAACCUGGCCUCAAGAAUGGACAGAGAGAGAGAGAGGGAGCGAUAAUGAAACCUCACUAUGGAGAAGUGUGUUGUUUUGUUUGCCAUGCUGGUAUUAAGGAAAUGUAACUGUUCAUUGUUCUGUGGCCACAUAGAUAUCCCCCCUCCUUGGGAAAAGUACCUGCUGUUUUUUAGUUUUAGAAAGUAUAUAUAUAUUUUAAUUAAAAAAAAAAAAAAAGCUAAGAAAACAACACAAAAUGAGAGCAAAAUCUGAAUAUCACAAUAGUAUCUUAUUCAGACACAUCACCUUUCAUUUUCACUGAUCACCCACUGCUUAUCACUGGGUAUUGCUAAAAUGCAGCUACUUCUGGGGUGGAGGGUGGCAACUAGCUAGAACACUUCGGGAAUGGGAGCACGAAUUUUGGACAAGGACUAUAAAGGAAAAUCCCUAUGCAUAAGAAAGAUGCAAGGGACCUUUUGGACCAAUUCAUCAAGACAGAUGGUGCUGAGCCUGUGUUUGAAAAAUGCUUUUAAACACAUUUCUGCCACUAAUCUGAGUGCGCAGUUUAUAUGGAGGGGGUAACAACCAGAACACAGAUUAGCCUCAGAAAUGCUAGUUAGCCAGCAACUCAUACUCCAAGCCUGUUCGGGGAGAUGUGAAUGAUCAUAGAAUAUCAGGGUUGGAAGGGACCUCAGAAGAUCAUCUAGUCCAACCCCCUGCUCAAAGCAGGACCAAUCCCCAUGAUACCAUGGGCCCAUCUGUUUUGAGGGUGGGGGGGCCCCCAUAGCUCCAAAUAAAGCCACUGGUGGGGGGUUUCUAAACCCCCUCUCAAUGCAAGCUGUGUGUCCAAACCGCCUACUGCACCCAGCCAGGAGUUAGAUCAAUAGAUCAAUGGGAGGUCAGAGCUUAAUUUACAACUUCUUGGAGAGGUUUGAGUGAGAGGCUCUGGGGCCUUUUGGGAAAUUUCCCUGUAGGCCAACAUGAUCCUGAAUCAAGCCACUGCCUCUGUGUAUUAUUUCCAGUCUGCAGGACCAGGAGGGGUCUGGAGUGGGGAAUGGGUGGGAAAGAGAAAAGAGGCCAAAACACCAGGGACAAGAUUUUAAAAAGCGGCCACUCUUGGUGCCCAUCUUGGACCAUCUGGACAGUCCAUAUUCGUGGCCACUUCCACAAAGCUUGGCCCAUUCCCAGUGCUUGAAUUAUAAGAAAAAAUGCCCAUAGGCCCUUUCCUUUUGUUGACUCAGUAGCAGUGAGCAGUGCAGGCAUACCAUAUCCACCUGAGCACUGGCCUGACCCCUGCAGUCACGUUUAAUUCUUCCUCACCCUCCAGACUGCUAGUCCACACACUGGAUUAUAACAGACACUUUUUGUUUUGGACAAAUGCAAACAGUUUUCUGGAGUUAAAAAUGGAAUGCAAACCAACAACAUGAAAGACUUAGUCAUCCACUACUGUGUAAUAAGCAUCACAUGUAAGGUUUAUUUCAGAUUGUAUUGUAUAAUGAAAACAACCCUCCUAGAAGGUAAGAUUUUUCUAUGGCUGGUCUCCCACUGCAGUUAAUUCUUGCUGGGAAGCAAUACACUCCUGGAAAUAGAAGUUUUGUAAUGGAAAAAAGCUUGAUGCAUCCUUAACUCACGUGACACCAUUAUAAUUAGGAGGAAAUUUACUCUGAAUUGUAGUGUUUGUGGCUUAUAUAAGCACUUUUGGGGUACAAGUGGCAAGAAUUACUUGAUAUCUGUUGAUAAGACUUUCUACAAAAAAAUGUUAACCAUAAUUCCCAUCUUUAUGUAAUCAUUGCCAGCUGAGUACUUGACAUAGUACAAUUUCCUGUCAGUACAAAGUUUCCCGAGGGAGAAGUACAGUGCGUAUAUCUUUGCCUUUGGAUCCAAAUUGAUGUUCUCCAGUGCAUCUGUUUCAGUCCAAACUGCAUUACACAGCAUGCCACUGCCAGGACCCAAUUGUGAGUCACAGUCAGGGCUUUAAAAAGGGUGAGACACCCAAAAUGAGGAACCUAACCCUUCUCUCCUCCCCCACAAAGCAGUUAAAAUGGAAACUCUAAAUGUUAUGGGAAGCAACUCUUGAAUAUAAAUAAAAUGUUCAAUAACCUCA